rnacentral:lncRNA from 1 species
CUAGAGAUACAAAAAUCAGCCAGUGUGGUGGCCCAGGCCUCUAAUCCCAGCUACUCGGGAGGCCCAGGCAGGAGACUUGCUUGAACCUGGGCGGCGGAGGUUGCAGUGAGCCGAGAUCGCACUGCUGCACUCCAGCCUGGGUGCCAGAGCAAGACUCUGUCUCAAUAAAAAAAAAAAAGAUAGUAGUUACAUUAUUUUCCCCAUUUUUAGACAAGGAAACUGAAGCAUAAAGAGCAUAAGUUGCUAGUGUCAUUCAGUGAGAAAGGCAUGGAGCUGGGAUUUGGCCCUAGGCAGUCAAACUCCAGACCGUAGGGCCUGUACUCUUAAUCAUACUCUCCCUCAUUACAGUAAGGAUAAGGAUGCUUCUGUUUUCUGUGGGAUGUGUUUUUUGUGUACUAUCAACAAUUUUUCCUCUGUAGGAAAUUGCCAGUGCUCUGGAUGCAAAUGGAUUUUUCCUUAGGAAUUCAGAGUUGCUGAGUUUUGCAUCAAGACUGAAAGAGGCCAAAAAGAGAAGCUGUGUGGUAAGCAGGGGCAGUUAACCAAUCCCUGGGGUACAUGUAAGCAUUUUGAAAAAGAUUAACUGUGAGUCAACAUUGCAGUAAAUUUAGUUAUAAAAUCAUGAUUAUGUAUGCAAAUAUGUGUCAACAGGUAGGACUGUGUGAUGACUCAUCCUACUCAAAAUUCUCUAGACUCGGUUUGUGCAAUAUUGGAUUCUACAAUGCUGAGCAAGGGAAGAAAAGUGUUUAAAGGAGAGCCACAAAUAAGAAUAUAUAGGUUGAAUAUAAACUUUAUAGAGCCUGAAUAGAUUGGAAUGGAAUAGAUGGAGGCUUCACACUCCUUCCCACAUGCAUUGUCCUAUGCAUCUCUUCAUCUGGUGUUCAUCGGUAUCCUUUGUAAUAUCCUUUAUAAUAAGCUAGUAAAUGUGAGUACAGUCAUGUGUCACUUAAUGAAGGAGAUACAUUUUGAGAACUGUGUUGUCACCAGGCGUGGUGGCUCUUGCCUGUAAUCUCAACACUUUGGCAGGCUGUGGUGAGAGACUUGCUUGAGCCCAGGAGUUUGAGACCAGCCUAGGCAAAAUAGUGAGACUCCAUCUCUAUAAUAAAUAAAUAAAAAUAAAAAAGACGAUUGCACUGUUAGGCAAUUUUGUUAUUGUGCAAACAUCUUAAGAGUGUCCUUCCACAUAGCUAGAGGGUAUAGCCUACUACACACAUAGGCUAUAUGGUAUAUCCUGUUGUCUAGGCUGCAAGCCUGUACAGCAUGUUCCUGUACUGAAUACUGUAGGGAAUUGUAACACAAUGGCAAGUGCAGUUAACAAUGGAACAACUAGAGGAUUAGGGGUUUGACACCCACACAGUCAAAAAUCCAUGUAUAACUUUUGACUUCCCCAAAACUUUACUAAUAGCCUCCUGCUAACUGGAAGACUUACCAGUAACAUAAACAGUUGAUUAACACAUUUAUUAUAUACUGUCUUCUUAUAAUAAAGCUAGAGAAAGUAAAAUAUUAAGAAAAUCCUAAGGAAAACAUAUUUACCGUACUGUACUGUAAUUAUCAAUACUGUAAAUUUAGGGUUAGUUAAAUGCCCCUCCAUUUCCAAAAUGAGUCAGCUGUCUGAAAUGGCAGGCAACUGCAGCUACAGACCUCAAUCAAAGUACUUAUCAAGCAAUUCAACUUUUUCUCGUAGUGUCAUUUUUUUCUCUGCUUCUUGGGAGCAUUUCUAGCAUCACUGGUGGCACUUUGUAUGGGGCUCAUGGUGUUAUUCAAGGUUUAGGGUAUUGCAUUAAACAUGAUGAAAAACGCGAGAAGUGUGAGAGAUCACUUUUUACUGCAAUACGCAAUUUACUAGAGCCAAGAACUGCUUGUGUGGAGAUGAUUAGCUCACAGGGUGUUUUAUGUGGAUACUCUCAACCCUUGAGUUCUGCUGUAAUAGCAACAGGAGGUGGUUACAAACUUAUUUCAGUGGAACAGUAGGUACUACAGUUAAUUUUACGCAGUUGUUUGUUUUAAUUAGUUAAUUAGACAAUUUUUGUUCUUUCCAUAGCUUUAGUGGUACAAGUGGUUUUUUGUUACAUGGAAGAAUUGUAUCCUGGUGAAAUCUGGACUUUUAGUAUAGCCAUCACCUGAAGAGCACACAUUGUACCCACUAGCUAAUUUUUCAUCAGUUACGGUUUAACAGUGCAUUUUUAGAUUUUUAAAUAUUUAUCUAGACUGCAAAUGGUACAAUGUAUGGUGUGUGUUUGUGUGUAUAGGUUUUGAUAAAUUUUAACUUUUUUAAAUAGAUUUAUGUAUGGUAGUAAAUGAUAGACUAGUAUCUACAUGUAUUUUAUGUACUCUUCACAUACCUUUAUUUUUUUUGAUAUUUCUAGUCUAUGAGGUUCAUCUGGUUUUUCAAAUUGUUGCAAAUCUCCAAAAAAUUUUCCAAUACAUUUAUUGAAAAAAAAUCCAUGUAUAAAUGGACCCACACAGUUCAAACCCAAGUUGUUCAAGGAUUGACUAUUUGUCUAUCUAAACAUACCUAAACAUAGAAAAGGUACAGUAAAAAUACAGUAUUAUAAUCUUAUGGGAUCACCAUUGUCUAUGCAGGCUGACAUUGAAAUGUCAUUAUGUACAGCAUGACUGUAUAGUGUUUCCGAGUUCUGUGAGCCUCUCUAGCAAACUAAUGGAGCUCAAGAAGGGGUUAUGGGAACCCUAACUUAUAGCUAGUUGGUUAGGACCCUUGGUCACCAUCUGGGGCUUCUGAUUGUCAUCUGAAGUGGGAGCCAUCUUGUGGCACUGAGCCUUCAACCUAUGGUAUCUGAUGCUAUCUCCAGGUAGUGUAAGAAGUGAAUUGAAUUAGAGGACACCCAGCUGGUGUCUGCUGCAAAAUUGCUUAUUUGCUUAAUGCGUGGGGAACCCCCCUCCACACACAUCUGGAGUCAGAAGGGUGUUGUGAGAUUAAAGUGGGAGAAACUGAAUUUGUUUAUUCCUAUAUUCAGAAUGGGGUCCUUGAGAACAUCAUAGUGGUAAGCAUAGAUGUUCUAAAGUCAGACUGCCUGGGUUCAUCUCUCUGCUCCACCACUUCGAGAGUUACUUUAGCUCACUGUGCUUCAGUUUCCUAUUAAGUUGGGAUAAUAAUACCAUCUCAUAGAGUAACUUAAGAAUUAAAUCAGUUAAUAUACAUAAAGCACUUGGAAGUGUUUGAAGCAUUAAUAAACACUCAAUAGCUAAUAAAAAAUAGAAAAGGGUGAGGAACAACUUAAUACAUAUUCAAAUAUAUAUUAUAGAUCUUUUCCAUAUUUGUUGUAGGGAAAAUAAGAGGAAGUGUAUUUAAGCUCUGAGAGAUCUGGAUUUUAUCAAAUUAAAAAAAAAGAGGGACUAGAUAAAACAUUUACCCAUUAAGAAACAUAAUUAACUACUCAGGGUGAAUAUUUCUAUAGAGGGCUGUAUAGCAUGCAGUAGAUUCUGUAAUUGAGUUUAGCCUAAGAAUGGUAUUCUCUAAAAGUGGGAAAACAAUCCCUAGAAAAUCAAGUUUGAUCUAGUACAUGGCCACCUACCACCUCACUUGCCCAAGAAACAUACUGAAAACUAAAGCUUGGUGUUCUAUUGAGGGAAUUACAGCAAAUUAACAAGUGCUGAUGUAUGUUAAAAUAGUACCCGAAGUUUUGACAACUAUCUUCCUGGUUUAGCCUAGAGAAACAGAAGCAAUGGGAAGAAAUCACAUUUGUAGUAGACCCAUGACCAGGACUCAGAUUUUAAAACUUAAAAUGUUUCCAUUACCUUGAAUUUCCCUUCGUUGGGUUUUUUAAAAAGCUAAAAUGAAAUGCCAUUAAUGACAUAGCAUGGCAUUACAUAUAGAAGGUCUUUAUAUAGUUGAAGAAGUAUUCAGUUGUCCUUUAACAUAUCAGCCCACUUCUUGGCCUGACCUCAGGACACAGCCCUACCACAACCCAAACUCCUGGUCCCUGUUAAAAGGGUGACCUAGGAAGCUAUGCUUUAUCAUAUAUUCUUCUCAGGAAUCCUUCAUACACUGAAUUGAGCCAUUAAUGUCAUCUUUUUGGCAUUUAAGUCACAAAGGGGAAGUUGCUAAUUGGGUAGCAGCAAUAGAGAGACAGAGGGAAUGGCUGCUGGUCUCCAAAUGAAAACAGUCUUCACAGUUCCUGUAUUUUCCUUUUCCUGGAGUCUGAGAUGUAUAUUCUUGCAAUCUUCACCCCAGCCCUCUUUUGCUCAUUUCCUGGUUGGACAGGGUUUUUAUUCUCUACAAUCAAUUUCUGACCAAAUAUGUGUGGCUCUACUUCAAACUAAAAGUCAACAUAUUGACAUGCAGAGAUAGGAAUUUAGUCUAUCACUUUAUGCUUAGUAUCUGGGGAGAAGAUAUAUGAGCUAAACAGAAGAAAGAGAAAUUUUCAGCACUUCUACAGUCAAUCAAAUCUGGUCAGUUCUAAUUCUCGAAUAUUUUUCUUAUCCAUCUUGUUCGUACAUCCAUAGCCAUCUUUUAUCUGAAUUAUAAUACCCUCUUAGGCAACAGAAAAAGAUGGAAGAAUACUUGCUAGCUAUUUUUAGAAAAUGCAAAUGCCAAAUAUCACUGUGGAAAGACCUCACAGCUUCCCAGUCUUUUCCCUUGAUAUUCCACCUUUCCCUUGAGGACCUGUAAUGAUCACUGUCUCUAUCAGAGAAGUGCAUUUCCCUUCCACGGCGUAGAUUGGUCCUCUUUGUUUUUCCUUAUUCAUAGCAUUGCUAAACCCAGAUGAGUUAUAUACAACUUUUAGAUAGGGCUUAGGCGUAAUGGGGGAUGGGGGUGGGGAAAGCAAAUAAAACACUAAGAUGCAACUUACCUAGCUAUAAUUAGGUAUGGCUUGCUCUUUUUAUUCAAUAAAUAUUUGAGCAUUCUGUGAUUGCCACGGUGCAUAUAUUGAUGACACAUCACUGCUUGCAAGAUGCAUGUGGUAGCAGGGGUAUGCUAAUGCUGCCACAGGGUAAUAAAGGAUAAAUCAGAGUGUGGAGCACCUCAGUCACUUUAAAAUGCGCAGGAAAGUCUGUGUUCUCUCCUUUUAUCUGGAAGAUUCACCAGUCAUUUGAGCCCUUUGAAGUGACUCAUUCAACCCCCAAAAUGGUUUGGCUGGACACUACCCAGUUUUGGAUAAAAGGACAGGAGCUGGCUUCAGCUAGCAGUUUGCAGAGGUUUUCUUUCAUCAGGGGUAUCAUUGGUUAUCUUGUAAUGCUUGCGAUGAAUUUUUCCAGCCUCUAAUUCACCCAACCCAGGAACUCCUCACGCUGCUGGGUUUUGUAACAAUAAAGGUCUUAUUGUUUAAGCUACCAAAAAAAGAAAAAGAAAAAAGAAAGAAAGAAAGAAAGAAAGAAAAAAAACAGGAGGCACCUAAAAUAGUAUCUGGGGGAAGGGAAUUAUGAAAGAUUUCACUGAAGUGCUGCCCUAAGAAAACGAAGACUUUAAGGACAAAUAAAAAUUAGCAGAACAUGAGAUUGGAGAAAGCGAGAGGGCAGGAAAUGAAGUAUUCCAAGAGUCUAAGAAUGUGCAAAAGACAAGUGAAUGAUGUGUUUAGGAAAUUGCAAGUAGUUCAUUAUGUCUGGGGUGUAGAGUACAAAGGGGUUCUUCUGUUUAUGCUCAGGUGACAGGAACUAGUUUCUCUACCACCCACAAGGGUCCUUAAACACACAAGGAAUUCUCAGAAUCCAGGCCAGAAAGAGGGCAUUCAAGGGAGGAAUUUCCUCCUUUUCCAGUCAAUGGCAGCCUUCUCAGCUUGGUUUUCCAGGCUCAGGAACCCCAUCUUUGGUGGUUAAUGCCAAUAAAAUCCUCUUCCUUAGGGAAAAACACUAUCCUCUUAUACCACAAAAUUUUACUACAUGAUCUUGAUAAGGACAAAAUAGCAGAAUAAUGCAUUAUCUUUACGUAUUUAAUGUAACUGCUUGUUUACACUGCCAAAAGAAAGGCUACUUUCCAUAAACUUGAGAUCAUAGGGAAACUGGAUAUUAUACUUUUAGCUUAGGCGUUAACUAAUGGUACAAAGUAUGUAAACCCCUAUCACUUCUAAAUGGCAGUUCACUGAAUGAAAAUCAGUUUACUUCCAAUUUUUGUUUUGAGGAUUAGAGGUUUAGAAAACAUCUUUAAAUAUUAAAAAGUCAUUAAAACAAGGGAAGCAAAUUAAGUUUCAAAUUAAGUUACUGUGGUUUUCCUGGGCCACUGUUGUCAGCCAGUUACAAUGUGCUCCAUUUCUCUAGACCCUAGCUCCUAUUCUGAAGCUGGUAUCUUACUUAAAUUUUCCUUUCUAGGCCAGGCUCCGCGGCUCAUGCCUGUAAUCCCAGCACUUUGGGAGGCCAAGGCAGGUGGAUCACCUGAGGUCAGGAGUUCAAGACCAGCCUGGCCAACAUGGUGAAACUCCGUCUCUACUAAAAAUACAAAAAAUUAGCCGGGCAUGGUGGUGUGAACCUGUAAUCCCAGCUACUCGGGAGGCUGAGGCAGAAGAAUCACUUGAACAUGGGAGGCGGAGGUUGCAGUGAGCCGAGAUUGCGCCACUGCACUCCAGCCUGGGCAAGAGUGAGAUUGUCUCAAAAAUAAAAAAAAUAAAAAAUAAAAAAAAUAAAAAAUAAAUUUUCCCUUCUAAAAGGAUCACAGUAACAUGAAUAGCAAAUAGAACAUUUUAGGCAGCAAUUAUCUAAAACGUGGAUGCUCUUGAGCAUGCAUUCUCAAUGGGGGUGAAAAUUGGUUCAUUGGGGACAAAAAAAAAUUCUAUUUUGUAUAAAGCAAAAAACAUUUACAGUCCAUAAACAGAUACAUAGUAUAUAUCUGGUGUUGAAAUAUCAUGGGGAAGGGGUGACUAAGAAAAAAAUCUAAAAAAGUUCUUCAGGGAGGUGAUAAAGAAAAGGUUAAGAAGCCAGGUGUAGUGACUUAUGCCUGUAAUCCCAGCUACUUAGGAGGCUUAGGCAGGAGGACUGCUUGAGGCCAAGAGUUCAAAAACAGCCUGGGCAAUAUAGCGAGAUCCCAUGUCUACUUAAAAAAAAAAAAAAGAAAAGCUGCUGUGGAGAUUCUUUUGCUAAGUCAGGAAUAUCUAACUUAACUGUAUUUUUAAAAACCCUAAGUGCCGAGAUAAAAUGGAAAGUUACGGCUAUUCCACUUCUAACCAAUGUACUUGCAAAUGGCUCCAGUUCUUUGAUUUUUUAUAAACCAAGAAAGUAAAUUUAUUUAAAUUACUAAAAUAGCUUUUAAAGUCAUUUACAGAUCAGCUGCUAUAAUUAUUUUUCCUGAAAGACAUAGGUAACAUAUUACUUUUAAAUUACUUGGGUCAAUGAAACAUUUAAUAAAAACAUUUGUUUCUCUAUAUAAUACGUAUGUAUAAAAUAAGCCUUUUCAAAAACUCUGGUUUUCAUAAUCCUCUAUAAAUCAGAUGAUCUGACUUCUAAGAGGAACAAAUUACAGUAAGGGGUAUACAUUUAUGAAUACUGGUAGUACUAGAGGAAAGACGUUAAACCACUCUACUACCACUUGUGGAACUCUCAAAGGGUAAAUGACAAAGCCAAUGACUGACUCUAAAAACAAUAUUUACAUUUAAUGGUUUGUAGACAAUAAAAAAACAAGGUGGAUAGAUCUAGAAUUGUAACAUUUUAAGAAAACCAUAGCAUUUGACAGAUGAGAAAGCUCAAUUAUAGAUGCAAAGUUAUAACUAAACUACUAUAGUAGUAAAGAAAUACAUUUCACACCCUUCAUAUAAAUUCACUAUCUUGGCUUGAGGCACUCCAUAAAAUGUAUCACGUGCAUAGUAAAUCUUUAUAUUUGCUAUGGCGUUGCACUAGAGGACUUGGACUGCAACAAGUGGAUGCGCGGAAAAUGAAUUUUUCUUCAACUUCCUUUAGGCCUAGACUUGUUCC